rnacentral:rRNA from 1 species
UACGGAGGAUCCAAGCGUUAUCCGGAAUCAUUGGGUUUAAAGGGUCCGUAGGCGGCCCGUUAAGUCAGCGGUGAAAUCUCCCGGCUCAACCGGGAAACUGCCGUUGAUACUGGCGGGCUUGAAUAACCGGGAAGUGACUAGAAUAUGUAGUGUAGCGGUGAAAUGCUUAGAGAUUACAUGGAAUACCGAUUGCGAAGGCAGGUCACUACCGGUUCAUUGACGCUGAUGGACGAAAGCGUGGGUAGCGAACAGG